ACUUGUGGCCAAACCUCCUUGUCAUAGCCUAAUCUGGUCAGAUCUUAGAAUCUAAACAGGGCUGGGCCUGGUUAGUACUUGGAUGUGAGACUGCUGGAAUUCCAGUACCGUAAAGC
rnacentral:rRNA from 1 species